ACCAAUGGCCAUACUGUCAUUACACAUCGUAAGUUCGUAACGUUCAUAAAUCGUAAGUUACUUCAAAACAAACGGAGAUCGGAUAAUCUUUGAAGAUUUAACUGUCUACAGAUAAUGUCAGCUGAAGUUUUCGUUGGACCUGGCCAACUGGGGUCAAUAAAGUAGUCCAAUCCAAUAAUGCAAGCUAUGUCCUCUGAAGCUAAAUAAUUUCUGUUGCAAGGUUAACUUUUCCCUGUCAAUUUGUAAAUCUUCAAGAUAUUUGGUGCCUUCGUCAGAUCCAAUUCUUUACUGCAAUCUAUUUUUAGGACACCAGCAAGAAAGUGCUGCAACUCAAGAUUUUCUGGUGACUGCCACUUAGUUCUAAUUUAGGACAAUGAUAGAUUUGAGGUUAAUCCCUCUCCACUGUUAUAGUUGUUCUGAAACCGAUGAGAGAUUCCUCGAAUUGAAGACUGAUAAUUUGUGUUGAUGUUGAUAAAUUCCAAGUACAUAAUCUGGGCUCCCUUCUUUUCUGUGGCCCCGUUUCCCUAACUAACCACUAACCAGUAACCAACGCCCGCCGGUGGUCACUCACUCGCUGUGUCAACCAGGAGGAGGGGAGGGCUCUGGUCGAACAGGGACUUGGAUCAUGGUGUUAUGAAAAUUUUUAAAGGGGCAUGAGUCUAACUUAGAACCCUACUUUGACUAAUAGCCCCCUCGCACUCUUCUCUCUUCUUUACUGGACAUGUAAUGUUCACGGUCGCAGUUAAUCAAGGCAUUGGUUGAUAGAAAUGCAGAAAAAUAUUGCUGUACUUACUGAUUUGGAAAUUAGUUUGAAUGUUACUUUUUAAAACUGGUCGUUUUACCAAUUAAAGGUUUUUU